UCUUAGCUGUUAAUCUAAAACUUAUCCCAAUAAGUCAAUGAAGAUUGAUAACUUGGACCACAUGCACGUUAAAGAUGGCUUAGUCUCUAAAUGAGCAAUAGUUAUAAAAUACAGCGAUGAUAAUUAGUAAUUAUGAUAAAACUCUGGGAAAGCUUUUGAAUGAAUAUUAAAGUUGCAGUGUAAUUUGGUUAAUGUGCUACUAACC
rnacentral:sRNA from 12 species